rnacentral:rRNA from 1 species
GACGAACGCUGGCGGCGCGCCUAACACAUGCAAGUCGAGCGGAGUUCUACGCUGACAAUCACUUCGGUGAGCGUCUUGUAGCACUUAGCGGCGGACGGGUGAGUAACACGUGAGCAACCUGCCCUGGAGUGGGGAAUAACACUUGGAAACGAGUGCUAAUACCGCAUGAAGUAUAUUGGUGGCAUCAUCGAUAUACCAAAGAUUUUAUCGCUCUGGGAUGGGCUCGCGCCUGAUUAGCUAGUUGGUAAGGUAAUGGCUUACCAAGGCGAUGAUCAGUAGCUGGACUGAGAGGUUGAUCGGCCACAUUGGGGACUGAGACACGGCCCAGACUCCUACGGGGAGGCAGCAGUGGGGGAUAUUGCACAAUGGAGGAAACUCUGAUGCAGCGACGUCGCGUGAGCGAAGACGGUCCUAUGGAUUGUAAAGCUCUGUCAACGGGGACGAUAAUGACGGUACCCGUGGAGGAAGCC